GACGGGGGGUCCUAGCGUUGUUCGGAAUCAUUGGGCGUAAAGCGGGCGUAGGUGGCUAUGUAAGUCAGGAGUGAAAGCCCUGGGCUCAACCCAGGAAGUGCUUUUGAAACUGCGUAGCUUGAGUGUGGAAGAGGAUAGUGGAAUUCCUGGUGUAGUGGUGAAAUACGUAGAUAUCAGGAGGAACACCGGCGGCGAAGGCGGCUAUCUGGUCCAACACUGACACUGAGGCUCGAAAGCGUGGGGAUCAAACAGG
rnacentral:rRNA from 1 species